GGGGCUAUAGCUCAGUUGGGAGAGCGUCUGACUGGCAGUCAGAAGGUCAGCGGUUCGAACCCGCUUAGCUCCACAA
rnacentral:tRNA from 1 species